rnacentral:rRNA from 1 species
GACGAACGCUGGCGGCGUGCCUAAUACAUGCAAGUCGAACGCUGAAGGAGGACCUUGCUCUUCUGGAUGAGUGGCGAACGGGUGAGUAACGCGUAGGUAACCUGCCUGGGAGUGGGGGAUAACUAUUGGAAACGAGAGCUAAUACCGCAUAAGAGUAGAUGUUGCAUGACAUUGGCUGAAAAGGUGCAAUGGCAGGACUACGAGAUGGGGCUGCGGUGUUUUAGGUAGGGGGUGGGGUAAAGUCUCACGAAGGCGAGGAUACAUAGCCGACCUGGGAGGGGGAUCGGCCCACCUGGGACUGGUACACGGCCCAGAUGCCUACGGGAGGCAGCAGUAGGGAAUCUUGGGGAAUGGAGGGAAGACUGACCGAGCAAGGCCGCGUGAGUGAAGAAGGUUUUCGGAUCGUAAAGCGCUGUUGUUAGGGAAGAACGAGGGUGAGAGUGGAAAGUUCACGUUGUGACGGGAACUUAGCAGAAAGGGACGGCUAACUACGUG